AUGAUGCUAUUUUUCAAGACAAGGCUCUGGUUGACUGAGGAAAAACAGGCACACUCGCACAAAAUUAAGUACCAGAGAGCUCAGCUAGCAAAGGAAAUCAGUCCACAAGAUGGCAAUGACAAUCCAAUUGGGAGAUUUUGUUUUGGUCAAACAAAUUGCUCUCAAAGAAAAUGUACAAGUUCGUCGUUGACGAGCAUAUUAUUCUCAAAGUCACGAAGCAAAGACGAUAAGAAUAAUAUGCUUGACCAACGGGGGCAUCAAAUGCCGCAUCAGACAUAUAUCAGCUAA